rnacentral:rRNA from 1 species
UACGUAGGGGGCAAGCGUUGUCCGGAUUUAUUGGGCGUAAAGAGCGUGUAGGCGGCCAGGUAGGUCUGCUGUGAAAGUCCAGGGCUCAACCCUGGGAUGCCGGUGGAUACUGUCGAGCUCGAGUCCGGAAGAGGCGAGUGGAAUUCCUGGUGUAGCGGUGAAAUGCGCAGAUAUCAGGAGGAACACCAAUGGCGAAGGCAGCUCGCUGGGACGUGACUGACGCUGAGACGCGAAAGCGUGGGGAGCAAACAGG